rnacentral:misc_RNA from 1 species
GCAAACUUGGUCAUUUAGAGGAAGUAAAAGUCGUAACAAGGUUUCCGUAGGUGAACCUGCGGAAGGAUCAUUAAAAUGGACCCGGUCCUAGCGGCCGACCUCAUCACUGAAGCCGUAAGGUAGCUCCUACCCGAGGUGAAUGUGUAAACCAAUUGUUGAACCUUCUACCUUUUGCUUCGGCAGUACAAUCCGGCUUUUACGCUUGUAUAGCGGGAAUGGUAAAGCUGCCAGAAGCCUUUUUACAAAACCAGUUGAUGAAAUGUCAUGCUGUCUGAUACUCUUUAUGGUAUUUGAGAAAUCGAAUAACUGUUAAAACUUUCAGCAACGGAUCUCUUGGUUCCCGCAUCGAUGAAGAACGCAGC